GAUACUUCGGGAGAAAUCCUUUUUAUUCGCGGGAGCGAAUGAAAAGAUUGUAGCGUCCCGAAGCAUC
rnacentral:sRNA from 1 species